GUCGUUUAUAAAAACUAUUGAAGAAGAUAGAAAAACGCUUAUACAUCCAAAGAUAUAGGAACGGGUCGAGGAUAACGUAAGAAGAUCAGAGCAGAUAUGCCGUAUGGAAAAAGCAGACUGCUCUAAUCGUAACGGUAACCAUAAAUCUAGAUAUUCGUUUGAUAGCGGUCUAGCGGCCGCAUUAGUUACCUCUAUGACUAUGAAUGUUUUAUUAAUGAUUUAUAUCUCGUGCGUAUUUGAAACGAAACGUGGAUAAGAUUUUACUAUGUCGAGGCCAUUUCAACCCUUUUCUGGAAAAUAAAAUGAUGAGCCCAGGUAUUCCCUGGCUGUAUUUCCCUUUCCCUGCUUGAUCUCCUACAGAAGGACAGAGUAAUUUAUUAAGACGAGACAAAUAUUUAAGCGUAAUCAUACGAUACUCUCGUACCAGUCAAAGACGCGACUGAAUUGACGCAAUCUGCCGUUGAUAUUUGAGCGUUCGCUAAAUCUGGACGGAGUUUUGUGGAGAUGUCGCUAGUACUACUUAAGGCGAUAAACGUGAAAGCAGUUGUUUUCGCUAUGAGCGUUAUGCAGUUUGUUUUUGUGUCCCUUUUUAUAUGGGUGCACGCCGUCAGCGCACAAGAGGUUGUGGUACCCGAAGCUUAUACGACCACCUACGGCAGCAUUGGUUCGCAUAUAUACGGAUAUGCUUCAACCCAUGCUCGUAUCCUGGCCGGCCCUUUUGGCUUUCCGUAUACAACGCAGCCCCGGUUCCAUAGCGGUGUUAAUCGGCCGCCACAGCCGUAUACGGUCCUGCUUUAAUAGGACCUUAAAAAGAGACUUGAAUUGACUGAAGUAUGUGCUAUUAUUAAGCGACAGACCAUUAGUUCAUGGAAGCAGCAUAACGAAUUCAUGUAUAUAGACAAAAUUUGUCUACCUGUAAAUUAAACCUUUUCUGUAAACAUGUUUGUUCUUUUCCAAGUUCGGAUCUUUUGACGUGUAUUUGAUUACGUAUGCUGUCGUUUUAUAUAUGUAUUUAAAGAAAACUGAUGUUCUUUUGAAAUUUUUCUUCUAUAUAAAUAUGGCGCUUCAAUUUUAAACAUUAUGUUGUUUACAUUAUAUCUUCUAAGGAAAGUUUACAAGAUAUUUCUCAGUCUAUUGAGCGCACUAAAUUACUUUAGCAUCAUUUUUAUUAUAUUAUGAGGUAUUAGCUCUGAAUUAAUCCAGAGCUAGCAAAAAAAAUGUUAGCGCAACGUGAUGUAGGGUCUUAUGUGAUGCCGGCGUGAGUGUUCGGACGAUAGCGUUUUGUUUCGGAUCUUCAUUGACGGACUAUUUGUCCUUCAAUACACAUAGUGCAGACCUGAAAUGUAACCAGAAUUUAGACCGAAUAUAAAGGAACUUCAUUGAAAUCUAGUGAUUAAUCGUAUUCUUCGGAAUACUAAUAAAAAACGUCACGUUCCGAUCUGAUUAUGUCGUA